UUUCUUCCAUCUUGGUCUUGCCUCCUUACCUUCCUACCAACUGCUUCUUGCCCAUCUGCCCUAAUGCACUUUCUCAGACUAUUUCUUCAGCCUCAUGGCAUAGGACAUAGCACAUGCCAUAACAAAUACUAAGUAUAAAAACUAUUCUGUUAAGAAUUCAGUCACUGGCCCAUCAGUUUUGUAGGGAGAUGGGAGUGACACAGCACCAGUACAGAUGCAGAUAAAGUUCUGCUGCACUCAGUCGUAUCUGUGAGAACCUGCUUUCCUUCCCAGAGCUCCCCAGUAUUCAACCCUUGGACAUUUUGGCAUAUUAGCAGUGAUAAAUGUAUUCACAAGUGAGAGCAGACAGCCCUGCGGGUUGUGAUGCCAGGGUAUUGUGGGUUCUUGGCAUCAGCAGUGCCUGUCUGUGGAUUUCAGGCGAAUGAAACAGAAAUAUUUUUAUAGUCAGCCUCAACUUUUUAUAUAUUUGUAGGUGUCUUGGUGUCCCCUAAAUAGGGAUUAGAUCCUUUGGCAGGAAGACUGCACUUUAUGUCUUGACUUUCCUGUUUCCAUAUCCACCCAACCCUCUCUUGCUCCUGAAGGCCACUGAUCUUGUCCUUUAUUUUUGCCAGGAAAUGCCACUCGUUUAUGUUGAGAAGCAGGUUCUAUCAGCAGGGAAAUUAUCAAUAAUCCAGCAAGCAACCAAUCUGUUUCUGAUUUCAUGUGACCUAUCCCUGCUGUGGGAUGAUGCACCCACAAUAAUUAUUAUUGUUAAUUAUUCACCUGCAAUAGUUUAAAUGCUUGCAAGUGACCAUCAGAUGUGAAAAGAAUUCAAUACUAAUGGAGGGAGAAGAAAGAUUUUUAAAAAAUGAGGGUGGCAUGAGACAAGGAUGAGAAGGGUGAAGGAUAUAUGGCAGAGGUACUGGUUGGGGGUAUUCUGGUGGCCUGGGUUCCAGCUCAAGCUUUUGCAGGAUCUCUGAUAGGCUUUGCUUUACUUAUCUCUUAAGUCCAGAUCAGAAUAGGAACAACGGACUUUAUCCACAGAAGUAAUUAAAAUGUUGCACUCCCUGGCAGCAGAGUUAAAAUCAAUUUCCCUAAUACAAGAUGAAGAGCAAUUGGCCAGGCUGCUGCCAUGUGGAAAAAGAUCUGGGACUGCAGUGCUUGGGAAUACAGCAGAAAACCAGUGCUGCAAAAAUCCAGCAGUUCUCCUGGGAUGUCUGUUCCAAGGGGCACACUGGCAUGGGUCAGUCUUUCCAUUCAACUUGGCAAUGGCAGGGUCUUGGCUCAAGAACAAUUUACACACCUCAGGAAACAUAUGGCCCAGCUGGGGAAAGCCCAAAGAGGUGCAAAAAAAGUGACUGGAAGUGUAGGAAACCUGCCUUUGAGGUAGAGCUGAGAGAGGGAAGUGUGUGGUCUGAACAGGGGACUGAACUGAGACAAAACAAGUGGUCAAAUACAUGCAAGACUGAUGCAAAGAGUGAGACAACGUGUCCUUUUAUCUUCUGCAGGUAGGGUGAGUAAUGGGCUUUAGCUCCAGCAGGAACAAUACAGGUAAAAGAUCAGGAAAAAUUUGCCGGUGCUAUGGCUGUUGUGGAAUUGGCCCAGCAGGAAAUUGUUUAGCCAAAGCUCUUGCAGGAGUGGUUGAGGUAUUGUUGAUUGUACUGAGAGCCUCUUAGAGGGAUUUAUCCAACUAUUUUUUUUUUCUUAUUUUCUCCACUUGCCACUGAAUCACUGGAAUUCAGCACUUCAGCAUUUGGGGAGACCUGCCACAAUAGCAGUCCCCUGUUUGUAAUCAAGAGGAUUGCAAAGCAAUCACAUGCAUGUUUAGCUGAUGUGCGGCUCCCAGGAUGGAUGGUGCACAGAAACAAGCUAGGAAAUACGUGUGCCAUUACUGUGGAGGCUGGUUAUUCCAGAGCAUUGAAAAUCCAGCUUUUCUUUGACAAGGAGAUGCUGCACGUGAGAAAUACCGCAGGUUAUAUUUAGUGUUACAGAGGCAUGAAGGAAAUCUCAUUAGAACCCACUGACAAUGAUCUGUUAAAAAGGGAACAGGGGCAAUUUGUGAGCGCUCGGAAAAACAGUGCAUCUCUGUUCUGCCCUGUCCUCGCUGUCUGCUGCUACUCUAGGACACAGAUUUCUUGAGAGAAGGAUCUGUGCCUGCUUGCUCAGUUAGCUCUGAUACAUCAUAUUUUAUUUGCUGGGAGACUUGAACAGUGAGCAGCAAACGCUCCCGGUCCUAUUUUAAACACAUGGAAACUGCAGUACAGAGAAAUAAAAUCACUUACUCAGAGCCACAGAGCAAUUUUGUGGCAGGGCUUGGAUCAAGAUCCAGCUCCCCUGCUUCCAAACCCGUGUGCCAUCCUUUCUCUUCAUUGACCCUUAAUUUUAAUCACCUACCAAGAAAUUCUGUUGGCCUCUUCCAGGUGACUUCCAUGGGAGUAAUGCCAGGUAUCAAAUGAAGUCACUGGGAAUAUCGAUGCAGAAGAAGCCAAUAUUAGAUGCAAAGAAAGAAUUGAUGGAAGGGAAAAAAUAGAUUUUACCAAAAAAAAAAAAAAAAAAAAGAAAAAAAGAAAAGAAAAGGAAUAAGUUCUAGUGCCGUUUCCAUAAUAUCAUUCCCCCCUUUAAUUUGUGCCUGGUCAAAAUUAAAAAAAAAAUAGAUUGCUAAUAUUAAUAGAUGAAAUGAAUCUUGAAUUUUAUAAUAGUGGAGGAAAUGAAAGGAACAAAGUAAUAUUGUGUUGUUAACUGAGAUUUUAAUAAUGAUUCUGUCCUCAGUUGGUGCAUUUAUUCCACAGAAAGUAAAUCAUUAAUGAAGAGGAGGGGAAAACAGUUUUGUGAUGAUGGAUUUUUGAAAGAAAAGUUUAAUUUUGGUUAACUUCCAGAAACUCUGAAAUGUGGCUGGAGCUCUAAAACUGAAACACCAACACCUCAAAAACAGCUCGUAAAGGUGAGAUUUAUCCAAGUGGUUAACAUUACCUGGGGAGUGAUGAAGGAUGUCCAUGGCUGCUCUCCAAGAGAGCUGAGGUGAGUGGAUGAGGUGGGUUAGAGAUGCUGGUUUGAUGGAGGAAGGAAGGUUUGGAGGUUUGCUGUUGGUUGGUUGCAUUCUCGUAGCUAUUUCUGAAUGACACCCGGAGAGCAGUAGGACUUCAUCCUCAGCCAGAACCAGGGGAAUCCCACUGGGCUCAUCCUACCUGUUCUGUGGACUUUUGCAAGACCUGCCUCCACCAUGUCCUCUGCAGGGGCGUGGGUGGACUCAAACCCCUCUCAGGGCUGUAAGGAUGUUUGAUUUCCCAGGUGAAUUAAAAACCCACCAUGGCUAGUGUGUCCACCUGCCCAAUACUGUCUUCAACCACCUCCAAGGAGUCCCCAAAAAAAAACAGGCUCCCUGGAGCCCAUUUCACACCAACUCCCCUGGUACAAAAUGUCCAGCGCAGGGAGAGUCACGGUCUCACAAUGGUGGAGGAGAAAAGCAUCUCUGUAGCUGAGAUUUGCUGCCCAAGAAAAAGCAAAUAUGGAACAUACAUGGCUGUUUCUGCCUGCAGGAGAUAGGGGAAAACACAGAAUUCCCCUGAUUCCUUAAUGAGCACAGCACCCCAACAAUGAAUGUAGAAAUUUGCAAAUUAAACCUCAUUUCUGUAUUUAAAUUAUCGAAUCAAUAAAGAGAUGUAAACAUUAAGCAACAUUAUAUGAGAGCCUGGAGUGUCGCCACAAAAAAUUAAGACUAUGUAAUUAAAAGUACAAUGCAAUUUAUUUUUAUAUUGUUCUUCAUUCAAAUCAACAAAUCUUAUUACUUACCCAAAAAUGUAAAGCAGACUGCAAACUAAUUCAAAAGAUGAAGACAAAGUGGCUAUUGAAAAACCUAUGUUUCUUGUUCCCUUAGAUCUGGCAGCAGUCAUGAUUUAAUAUUUUAACCACUGUAAUAGGUUAUACUGCUGAAGAAAAGUGCAUUAAUUACUAUGGGAAACCUAAAAAAAAAUCUAAUUAAGAAGAAUAAAAUCAUUCUUAUUGACUGGGAAAAAUAAAACUAUGUAAAGGGAAAUGAGGGAUGAAAAAACUGACAACACACAAAUACUAAUAAAUGUUGUCUGCUCAGGAUAGGAAAAGCAAUUCUGCUGUUUACUGGGGGUUUGGAUUUGAAACUGGCUGGAAGUCACAGUUUGCCAUGGCUAAAGCUCUUUCUCACACACUGGAAGCACCUUCUAAUUAGCUGCAGCUCGGGGAGUUGAGUUUGCUUCAAAUUCAGCCCAACAUGUCCGUGCAGAGCCAGCCCCACUGGCUGUGUCUGCAACAGCAGACUAGAGCAUGAGGCUGAACUGUGUUUCAGGGUGUAGGAUGGGGUAAGGAAAUGGUUAUCGUGACAGUUGCUGUCCUUCCUAUGAAGUCAGAGAGGACACGUGUGAGAAAGCAGCCCUGUGUCCCAAACCAUGCCUGGGGACAACACAGGAAAGAAUCACCACGGGCAGACACCAAUCUGUCUUUCAACCAGCCACAGCCCUUUAAAGUAAUGUAAAAGGAACCUUUCUGUGUGAAAUAGCCACCACCUCGUUUGCUCAGCCCCAAGGAAAGCCAUUUUUUGACUUUACCCCCAAGUAGCCACUGCAAGGGAGCACCUGCCCCCCCUUUAUGUGCCUUUACAGGGUCCCCAGGGAUGCAGGGCUGCUUUGGGAACAGGUGCAUCUUGUGUCGGCCAGAAACAGCAGCCAAAAGUGUUAGGAGGUGUUUGACUGUAUUUUCCAGAUGUGAAAGUAGACGGGACCGUGUGGUUUUGUCAUUGCCGAGAUUGGACUCUGAGGCUGUGAGUUUGAUCUUCCAUCCCAAUUUGGAAUAGGAGUGUUUAUUUCAUGACUUUGAGCAUUCUCGUUAUGGCAAAAGUAGUUUUCUGCCCAAAUUUAUUGCCCUCGUUACUAAAGAUCCCAACAAUGUCAUGGAUGUUAAAAAGAGGGGAGAGGAUUCCACAGGGUCAACAUCUACAAUAAGUGUUUAAACAAAUACAUGUGGUUUAACUACUUCAGCUGAUAUUAGUAGUAUUAAUGCCUUUUCAAGCCAGAAGUAAUCCUUUGAUCAUUUAUAUUUACUUCACAUAUGAAAUAGACUGCAGCAGUUUGGCUGGUUCUCUUGUACUGAAUCCAGUAGCUUGUACAUCAUUAAUAUCUCCAAAUAUGAAGAAUUAGUAGUAUAAAUUUUGCACAGCCCUUCUGGGAUUACAAAUCUUCCUCAAAGGCAAGAGGAAUUGUCUGAGGAAUGAGGACUUCUAGAUCCAAUGAGUGCACGCUGUGCCAGAGAGGAAGAAACUGAGUGAAAUCUUUGCAACAAAUGAUGCUAUUAUGGAUGUGUACUUGCACAGAAAGCCAGCGAAAGGGCACUGCAGCACCUCAGCUGUGUUUUGGUGGUAUCACUGACACCGAGAGUCACACAGCUUUGUGCUCAAAGGAAGACGUGAAUCACCGUGGGCUCUAUUGACAGUAUUGACUGGCUCUCCACUGACUGGUGAGGGAGCCACAGGUGACUCUCUCAAGUGUAGAUUUCUGCUUUAGUUGGGUGAACCUACCGAGAGCUUCGUGCCCAUACUGUAAGACUUGGAUGCUCUGAGCAGCCCAGACUGUGGCAUUCCAGUCAAUAACUUCUAUGGCAAGCACAGUAUUUUUGGAGAAGCGACACCCAUCAGGAGGAGUUUGCAAUGUAAGUAGACAAAAGAAAUAGCAGGUGGGAAACAGAGGUUCCCUGUGAUCAGUAGGAAAUAAAGUCUGCGCUUCCUGCUCC